UACGUAGGUGGCAAGCGUUGUCCGGAUUUACUGGGCGUAAAGAGCGCGCAGGCGGUCGUUCAAGUCGCGUGUGAAAGCCCCCGGCUCAACUGGGGAGGGUCACGCGAUACUGAUCGACUCGAAGGCAGGAGAGGGUAGUGGAAUUCCCGGUGUAGUGGUGAAAUGCGUAGAUAUCGGGAGGAACACCAGUGGCGAAGGCGACUACCUGGCCUGUUCUUGACGCUGAGUGAGCGAAAGCCAGGGGAGCAAACGGG
rnacentral:rRNA from 1 species